ACCUGCCCAGAAGCGGGGGAUAACACCUGGAAACAGAUGCUAAUACCGCAUAACAACUUGGACCGCAUGGUCCGAGCUUGAAAGAUGGCUUCGGCUAUCACUUUUGGAUGGUCCCGCGGCGUAUUAGCUAGAUGGUGGGGUAACGGCUCACCAUGGCAAUGAUACGUAGCCGACCUGAGAGGGUAAUCGGCCACAUUGGGACUGAGACACGGCCCAAACUCCUACGGGAGGCAGCAGUAGGGAAUCUUCCACAAUGGACGAAAGUCUGAUGGAGCAACGCCGCGUGAGUGAAGAAGGGUUUCGGCUCGUAAAACUCUGUUGUUAAAGAAGAACAUAUCUGAGAGUAACUGUUCAGGUAUUGACGGUAUUUAACCAGAAAGCCACGGCUAACUACGUGCCAGCAGCCGCGGUAAUACGUAGGUGGCAAGCGUUGUCCGGAUUUAUUGGGCGUAAAGCGAGCGCAGGCGGUUUUUUAAGUCUGAUGUGAAAGCCUUCGGCUCAACCGAAGAAGUGCAUCGGAAACUGGGAAACUUGAGUGCAGAAGAGGACAGUGGAACUCCAUGUGUAGCGGUGAAAUGCGUAGAUAUAUGGAAGAACACCAGUGGCGAAGGCGGCUGUCUGGUCUGUAACUGACGCUGAGGCUCGAAAGUAUGGGUAGCAAAACAGGAUUAGAUACCCUGGGUAGUCCAUACCGUUAAACGAUGAAUGCUAAGUGUUGGAGGGGUUUCCGCCCUUCAUGCUGCAGCUAACGCAUUAAGCAUUCCCCCUGGGGAGUACGGG
rnacentral:rRNA from 1 species